rnacentral:lncRNA from 1 species
GGCGAAUGUAUCAGGUGAAUCAACACUAUUUUUCCUUUCUUUUCAGUUUUCUGAGACAGAGUCUGGCUUUGUAGCCCACGCUCGCCUCCAACUCACACGUGUCUUCCUGCCUCAGCCUCUGGAGUGCUGGGAAACACAAGUGUGCCACACCAUGUCCGGCUCAAGGCCCUUGGCCAGGGUCCCGCGGCUGCGGUCGGCGUGGGAUGAGAAGAAAGAACUUGGAUUUCAGUCAGAAGAUCAGGAUUCCGGCUCUAGGAGACCGGAGACAAAGAGCCGAGAUAAGGAGCC